CCUGGUCCAGACCGCGGCUGGCCCACCGACCGGCUCAUCCCGCCGUAUAAAAGAUGCGCCGCGUGGGCGACGGGCAGUGCCGGCGCGAGCCCACACCACGGCGGAGCGGACCAGCACAGGACUGGCUAGAGGCGAAAGUUCAGAAGACGUCACGUCAAAACUGAGGAACUGAAACUGGAAUUGAACCAGAACUUAAGGCUUCCGACCACGGCCACCUCACUGUGAGACUUUCUUCAGCGAAUUCAAUUGCAUUUCAGGUUAGGAACAUGGCGGACCACGGGCGCCACUUCCGCCCGCCGCUGUCACUACCGCUGCUGGUGCUGGCGGUCGCCGCAGCCUUUGCAGCGCCGCAGCUGCUGCCUCUGGACGAUGACCCCGACAUCGAC